GACGAACGCUGGCGGCGUGCCUAAUACAUGCAAGUCGAACGCACAGUUUAUACCGUAGCUUGCUACACCAUAGACUGUGAGUUGCGAACGGGUGAGUAACGCGUAGGUAACCUGCCUGGUAGCGGGGGAUAACUAUUGGAAACGAUAGCUAAUACCGCAUAAUAUUAAUUAUUGCAUGAUAAUUAAUUGAAAGGUGCAAUUGCACCACUACCAGAUGGACCUGCGUUGUAUUAGCUAGUAGGUGAGGUAACGGCUCACCUAGGCGACGAUACAUAGCCGACCUGAGAGGGUGAUCGGCCACACUGGGACUGAGACACGGCCCAGACUCCUACGGGAGGCAGCAGUAGGGAAUCUUAGGCAAUGGACGAAAGUCUGACCGAGCAACGCCGCGUGAGUGAAGAAGGGUUUCGGAUCGUAAAGCUCGGUUGUAAGAGAAGAACGGGUGUGAGAGUGGAAAGUUCACAAUGUGACGGUAUCUUACCAGAAAGGGACGGCUAACUACGUG
rnacentral:rRNA from 1 species